rnacentral:rRNA from 1 species
UGACCAGCCACACUGGGACUGAGACACGGCCCAGACUCCUACGGGAGGCAGCAGUGGGGAAUUUUGGACAAUGGGCGCAAGCCUGAUCCAGCCAUGCCGCGUGCAGGAUGAAGGCCUUCGGGUUGUAAACUGCUUUUGUACGGAACGAAAAGCCUUCUUCUAAUAAAGGGGGGUCAUGACGGUACCGUAAGAAUAAGCACCGGCUAACUACGUGCCAGCAGCCGCGGUAAUACGUAGGGUGCAAGCGUUAAUCGGAAUUACUGGGCGUAAAGCGUGCGCAGGCGGUGAUGUAAGACAGAUGUGAAAUCCCCGGGCUCAACCUGGGAACUGCAUUUGUGACUGCAUCGCUGGAGUACGGCAG